UACAGGGGGGGCAAGCGUUGUUCGGAAUUACUGGGCGUAAAGGGCUCGUAGGCGGCCAACUAAGUCAGACGUGAAAUCCCCGGGCUCAACCUGGGAAUGGCAUUGGAUACUGGCUCGCUAGAGUGCGGUAGAGGGUGGUGGAAUUCCCGGUGUAGCAGUGAAAUGCGUAGAGAUCGGGAGGAACAUCUGUGGCGAAGGCGGCCACCUGGACCAACACUGACACUGAGGCACGAAAGCGUGGGGAGCAAACAGG
rnacentral:rRNA from 1 species